UGGGAAGGCGAAUCCGCGAAUGGCUCAUUAACUCGGUUAUGGUUCCUUAGAUCGUACCUUACUACAUGGAUAACUGUGGCAAUUCUAGAGUUAAUACAUGCAGCAGAGCUCCGACCCGGGAACGAGCGCUUUUUAUUAGACCAAAAACCAAUCGGGCCUCGGGUCCGUUCUCCGUGGCUCUGUAUAACUUUGGGCUGAUCGCACGGGCUCGUCCCGGCGACGUAUCUUUCAAGUGUCUGCCUUAUCAACUGUCGAUGGUAGGUUAUGCGCCUACCAUGGUCGUAACGGGUGACGAAUAGGGUUCGAUUCCGGAGAGGGAGCCUGAGAAACGGCUGCCACCACAUCCAAGGAAGGCAGUAGACGCGCACAUUGCCCACUCCCGGAACGGGGAGGUAGUAACGAAAAAUAACAAUACGGGACUCGUGAGACCCCGUAAUUGGAAUGAGAGUACACUUUAAAUCCUUUAACGAGGAUCCAUUGGAGGGC